rnacentral:rRNA from 1 species
GUGAGGAGAAGAGAGACCCCCCCAAAAAACAGGGUGGAUUG